AAGUAUUUUAGUAUAAGUACUAAUGUAACCUGGUUGUUGUUAUAAUUACACAAAAUGUCUUUUUUUGUUGUUGUUUGUAUUGUUCUCUACCUGACCGAAAAGCUGUCAUUGUUUUGAAUGUGUUACUUUAAGAACAGUAGCCCCUCCUUUUUAUUUCUUCUUCUAUGGUUUUGUCUUUAAAAUGUUUGCGUCCCUUAGGCCCUCCCCUUUUGUCAUGUUGUCCUGCGGGAGAGGACUUGGAGCGGGCAGCUUGUAACUAUUGUUUUUCUGUUGGAUAUUUUCGUCAGAAUAAAUCUUUGAAAGCCAAACAGAGUCACGGCCUGACUAACAUCUAAUAACCAGCACAACGCAGAAGGGAUCCGGUUACACUUGGUGCCGUGACCGAAUGGAUGG